rnacentral:RNase_P_RNA from 1 species
GGAAGCAGACGAAGAAUCGCUCCAUUCGGAAUAAAAACGAAUGGGGAGGAAAGUCCGGGCUCCACAGGGCAGGAUGGUUCCUAACGGGAACUGCCAGCCAAAAAAAGGCCGGUAAGGAAAGUGCCGCAGAGAAUAGACUGCCUGCUGCCCGGGUAACCGGGAACAGGUAACGGUGAAAAGGUGAGGUAAGAGCUCACCGUCCCGGUUGGUGACAACCAGGACUGAGGCAAACCCCAUCCGGAGCAAGGCUAGAUAAAAGGUGCUUGAGGCCGGCCCGGCCAAUACCUUUGGGUUAGCCGCUCGAGCAAUUAAGCAAUUAAUUGCCCAGACAAAUGAUUCUUCAAGACAGAACCCGGCUUACAGUCUGCUUCUAAAC